rnacentral:lncRNA from 1 species
UCUCCACUCUCCUGUGACCCAGGUAUCCAGGCAGCAACUUCCACCUUGGGAUUCCACCAUCUCAACAUGAGGCUGCCAUGUUUAUUGUCAGAUGGAGGGAGAAAGCAUGGAAAUGGCACACUGGUUCUCAGAUGUCUGGAUGUGACAAACAAUGCUUCUACUCAUGUUUCAGUGUGCUCCUCUAGGGCCUCCUUGGGUUCCUGUCCUCCUGGUCAGCCGGUCCCCUGAGAAUCUGAAGAGAAGUGAGACAGCUCCUGAGGUUACAGCCAGCCAGCAGAGGCCAAGGCUCCAACACUGAUGGGCCUGAAUCCUGCCCCUUUGCUGGCCUGAGAAAAUCUCAGAUCAAGAGCUCAUAUCCCUGAUAUGGAACAGAAGGGCAUGAGGGGACCCACAUCUGGCCACACCUGCUCAAGGCUUCACAGCAAGGACAGUAAGAGGUGGCCAUAUUCAGAGCCUGGGUCCACUUCCCUCUGCCGAUCUCAAGCCGCCCCUCAGACCGAGACCCUCGCUUCUCUGACCCCUAGGCGUCGCAGCCGGCCACCAAGCCUGGGGCUUCCUCGGGUUGACUGCAGGUGUCGUACCGGAUUCUGCUAUGAGUGGGGGUGGAAAUGGGGGUGGGGGUCGUG